ACUCCUAAAAGUCCAGGAUUUCUGAUUAAAGGAAGAAUUGUGCUGCAGCCGCAUUGUCUUUCUGGAAAACUGCCUUUGGUUUUGUUGGGUUUCAAAAAAUCUGUAGAGUCAAUGGGAAAACUUCCAUAGAAACAUUGGAAAAAUUCUGUUAGAAGCAGCGGCUUGAGCGCUUUGGGUUGAGUAAACAUCGUCAAGAUGUUUACUCGGAUGUUAUUAAAACUGUUGCUUAUAUUAAUGAAGACGGAAAAACUGUAGGAAACCUAAAAACAAAUUGCGAAAUUGAGUUGGAAAUAACCACUGAAGCAAAGAAUAAUUUUUAAACAGGAACCAGUGUAGCUUUUAUGCCAUACUAAACCCUGAAAGAGUGACCACUUUAUAUUUUGAGCGCUUGUAUAAACUAACUCAUCUUGCCCCAGGAAAAAAUUUUUCAUGAGAUCAGUGCUGAUUACCAAGACAAUUCUUUGGAAGUGAUCCAGAAAAAGAGCAGAGUAACCGAUUCAGAGCCCAUUGAGAAUGGAAGUCCUGAGGAUCAUCCGGUCUUCACCAGCCGGCCGUCACCGAUCACCAAAAGUGUAGAUUCUUUCGAUCUGCACAGGCAGAGAUUGAGCACCGUUUGUGAAGGAAAAAGAAAAUCUGGGCGCUCAAAAAUUGUCGCGAAGGAUCCAGCGAAAAGUCGCAUUGUGUCGACAAUAGAAUCAUAAUCGACUUGAUUUACUA
rnacentral:lncRNA from 1 species